rnacentral:rRNA from 1 species
GACGAAGGAUCCAAGCGUUGUCCGGAUUUACUGGGUUUAAAGGGUGCGUAGGCGGAUAAAUAAGUCAGAGGUGAAAGCCUGCAGCUCAACUGUAGAACUGCCUUUGAAACUGUUUAUCUAGAGUACACUUGAGGUGGCUGGAAUAUAUCAUGUAGCGGUGAAAUGCUUAGAUAUGAUAUAGAACACCAAUUGCGAAGGCAAGUCACUAAGAUGUAACUGACGCUGAGGCACGAAAGCGUGGGUAGCAAACAGG